rnacentral:rRNA from 1 species
CCUACGGGAGGCUGCAGUGGGGAAUAUUGGACAAUGGGGGCAACCCUGAUCCAGCCAUGCCGCGUGUGUGAAGAAGGCCCUCGGGUUGUGAAGCACUUUCAGUGAGGAAGAACGCCUGGUGGUUAAUACCCAUCAGGAAAGACAUCACUCACAGAAGAAGCACCGGCUAACUCCGUGCCAGCAGCCGCGGUAAUACGGAGGGUGCGAGCGUUAAUCGGAAUUACUGGGCGUAAAGCGCGCGUAGGUGGCUUGAUAAGCCGGUUGUGAAAGCCCCGGGCUCAACCUGGGAACGGCAUCCGGAACUGUCCAGCUAGAGUGCAGGAGAGGAAGGUAGAAUUCCCGGUGUAGCGGUGAAAUGCGUAGAGAUCGGGAGGAAUACCAGUGGCGAAGGCGGCCUUCUGGACUGACACUGACACUGAGGUGCGAAAGCGUGGGUAGCAAACAGGAUUAGAUACCCUAGUAGUC